rnacentral:lncRNA from 1 species
CCCCACCCGGCCCCCCUCCCCCCCAGCCCUAAUGAGGACUAUUAGAACUGCUUCCCCGCACCCACAGCCCGGCGAGCACAAAAGCGAAAGAUUCAUUUUGUAAUUUGGGACAGGGAUUGGUCUGGGAAGCGCUCUGAACACCUGGUCCUGGGACAAGACAUUGCAAGGCCGGCUUUACAAGCGCUACCCAAAACGAUCGGGGACAUGAUUUGCCACGUCUUUCAAAGACAAAAUGGAGUUGGAGAAGCAACAUUGUCUCAUGGAAAGAAUGCCACAUUGGAAAACAUGGUUUUAAUUCCUGCCUCCUAUGCUUAGUAUUCCUGUGAAUGUCUUUCAGACCUUCAGUUUCCCCAUCUGUUAAAUGGGUAAAUAAUGGUUGUGAUACACAAUGUCUUACAGAGUUCUUGUGAGGAAAGCACUCUGUUUAAAAACAGUGAAGUGUUAUAUGAAUGUGAGCUCUUGUUAAUUCUUCCACUCCUCUUGGAAUAUGGUUAUUUCUAGGUUUUCAGGUUAGUUGUGGCUUGAACACCAUCUACCAAAUUCCCUGCUCCAGAGGCACCAAUUUCAGUAGUUUCUGCCGACUUUCCUUCUGACUGCUUACAUAAGGUGUCCUCUUCUCAGUCCAUUCCUUCUCAAGGACAGGACAUAUUCUGCCAAUAGCUGUGUCGGAUUGCAUAUAACACAUUUCCCAUCCUGGAAAUGGAAAGUAUUUAUUAGUAGAAAUUCUAUCUGUAUUGCUUUAAGCUUAUUUGCAUGCUUUUAAAUGAUUUUCAGUUGGUUGGGGCUGAAGACCCACUACCCACAC